AGAGAUUUAAGUUAUAAAACUAAUAGCCUUCAAAGCUUUAAUUGAUUGUCAUAGAAUCAAUCUCUA
rnacentral:tRNA from 1 species